GUCUGAAGCUGGCGCGCUUUUCUCAUGUGGACACCCCAAAAAUUGAGCCAGAGGAUGGGUGGAUGUGGUGAAACCUGCGGAUAUCCACACACUCUGAGGACUUGGUAUCUGGACCCCUCACCAUCUUUGUUGUCUCUGGAACCCAUCCCAAGAACCCAUUCCAGGAUGUGGAGAAGGACUUCAGUAGGAGUUUUCCUCUCGGUUUAGGAUUGUAUAACCCCUUCAUCAUUUGUACAUUGAGUUUUGGCAGUAUACAAAUACGUUAAAUAAAUAAAUGGUUUUUAAAAUAGUAAA